AGAGUUUGAUCCUGGCUCAGGAUGAACGCUGGCGGUAUGCUUAACACAUGCAAGUCGAACGAAUCCCUUCGGGGAUGAGUGGCGGACGGGUGAGUAACGCGUGAAAAUUUACCAAAAGGACUGGGACAACCACUGGAAACGGUGGCUAAUACCGGAUGAGCCGAAAAGUAAAAAGGGAAACCUGCCUUUUGAAGAGCUCGCGUCUGAUUAGCUAGUUGGUGAGGUAAGAGCUCACCAAGGCAGCGAUCAGUAGCUGGUCUGAGAGGAUGACCAGCCACACUGGGACUGAGACACGGCCCAGACUCCUACGGGAGGCAGCAGUGGGGAAUUUUCCGCAAUGGGCGAAAGCCUGACGGAGCAAUACCGCGUGAGGGAAGAAGGCUCUUGGGUCGUAAACCUCUUUUAUCAGGGAAGAAAAAAAUGACGGUACCUGAAGAAUCAGCCUCGGCUAACUCCGUGCCAGCAGCCGCGGUAAUACGGAGGAGGCAAGCGUUAUCCGGAAUUAUUGGGCGUAAAGCGUCCGCAGGUGGCUUAUCAAGUCUGCUGUCAAAGAGUGGGGCUUAACCCCAUUAAGGCAGUGGAAACUGAGAAGCUAGAGUGCCGUAGGGGUAGAGGGAAUUCCCGGUGUAGCGGUGAAAUGCGUAGAGAUCGGGAAGAACAUCGGUGGCGAAAGCGCUCUACUGGACGGCAACUGACACUCAGGGACGAAAGCUAGGGGAGCGAAUGGGAUUAGAUACCCCAGUAGUCC
rnacentral:rRNA from 1 species